rnacentral:misc_RNA from 1 species
CUGCCUCCUCUUCUUCGCGCAAGCACCGGAUCUUCCUCCUCUUCUUUAUGCAAGGCAUUAGAUCUCCCUUCUCUUCUCUUCUCUGGAGAGCUUUUUCUGGAGCUUGGGCGUGAGGAUCCUGCAGGCCGGUGGCGUGGAGCGCGCGUUCCGGCGCGCCUUGUCAGCCGAGAAAGUCGAGCUGGUGAAGUCCCUCCACUCUACACCACCGGCGGGCCCAUAGCACGGCAGCCUCAGCCCCCGCGCGGUGAGCUAAUCUAUUGUCGGCAUGGAUGUAGUCACUCCACUUCAGAAAAGAGUCAGUUGCAUGGCUCCUGGCGAACAUUGGACAUGUUUAUUUUGUUACCUUUGCUGUUACAAAUUUGGCACUCAUUUAUUUUGAGCGUUGCGUGGUCAAAGAAAGAAGGUUGUUUAUUUGAGUGGCAUGAAUAA